rnacentral:rRNA from 1 species
GAGGGAUGACGGCCCUAUGGGUUGUAAACCUCUUUUGCCGGGGAGCAAAGUGCCGCACGUGUGCGGUUUGGAGAGUACCCGGAGAAAAAGCAUCGGCUAACUCCGUGCCAGCAGCCGCGGUAAUACGGAGGAUGCGAGCGUUAUCCGGAUUUAUUGGGUUUAAAGGGUGCGUAGGCGGACGCUUAAGUCAGCGGUAAAAUUGCGGGGCUCAACCUCGUCGAGCCGUUGAAACUGGGUGCCUUGAGUGGGCGAGAAGUACGCGGAAUGCGUGGUGUAGCGGUGAAAUGCAUAGAUAUCACGCAGAACUCCGAUUGCGAAGGCAGCGUACCGGCGCCCAACUGACGCUGAAGCACGAAGGC